CGGGGAACGAUAACGGCGUCGAGCGGCGGACGGGUGAGUAAUGCCUAGGAAAUUGCCCUGAUGUGGGGGAUAACCAUUGGAAACGAUGGCUAAUACCGCAUGAUGCCUACGGGCCAAAGAGGGGGACCUUCGGGCCUCUCGCGUCAGGAUAUGCCUAGGUGGGAUUAGCUAGUUGGUGAGGUAAGGGCUCACCAAGGCGACGAUCCCUAGCUGGUCUGAGAGGAUGAUCAGCCACACUGGAACUGAGACACGGUCCAGACUCCUACGGGAGGCAGCAGUGGGGAAUAUUGCACAAUGGGCGCAAGCCUGAUGCAGCCAUGCCGCGUGUGUGAAGAAGGCCUUCGGGUUGUAAAGCACUUUCAGUCGUGAGGAAGGUAGUGUAGUUAAUAGCUGCAUUAUUUGACGUUAGCGACAGAAGAAGCACCGGCUAACUCCGUGCCAGCAGCCGCGGUAAUACGGAGGGUGCGAGCGUUAAUCGGAAUUACUGGGCGUAAAGCGCAUGCAGGUGGUUUGUUAAGUCAGAUGUGAAAGCCCGGGGCUCAACCUCGGAAUUGCAUUUGAAACUGGCAGACUAGAGUACUGUAGAGGGGGGUAGAAUUUCAGGUGUAGCGGUGAAAUGCGUAGAGAUCUGAAGGAAUACCGGUGGCGAAGGCGGCCCCCUGGACAGAUACUGACACUCAGAUGCGAAAGCGUGGGGAGCAAACAGGAUUAGAUACCCUGGUAGUCCACGCCGUAAACGAUGUCUACUUGGAGGUUGUGGCCUUGAGCCGUGGCUUUCGGAGCUAACGCGUUAAGUAGACCGCCUGGGGAGUACGGUCGCAAGAUUAAAACUCAAAUGAAUUGACGGGGCCCCGCACAGGC
rnacentral:rRNA from 1 species